rnacentral:rRNA from 1 species
GAUGAACGCUGGCGGCGUGCCUAAUACAUGCAAGUCGAGCGAACGGACGAGAAGCUUGCUUCUCUGAUGUUAGCGGCGGACGGGUGAGUAACACGUGGAUAACCUACCUAUAAGACUGGGAUAACUUCGGGAAACCGGAGCUAAUACCGGGUGAUAUUUUUAACCGCAUGGUUCAAAAGUGAAAGACGGUCUUGCUGUCACUUAUAGAUGGAUCCCCGCUGCACUAGCUAGUUGGUAGGGUAACGGCUUACCAAGGCAACGAUGCAUAGCCGACCUGAGAGGGUGAUCGGCCACACUGGAACUGAGACACGGUCCAGACUCCUACGGGAGGCAGCAGUAGGGAAUCUUCCGCAAUGGGCGAAAGCCUGACGGAGCAACGCCGCGUGAGUGAUGAAGGUCUUCGGAUCGUAAAACUCUGUUAUUAGGGAAGAACAUAUGUGUAAGUAACUGUGCACAUCUUGACGGUACCUAAUCAGAAAGCCACGGCUAACUACGUG